rnacentral:rRNA from 1 species
CUACGGCUGAACCAGCAACUUGGAGGAAUGAAAAAGCAAUAGCAGAUUGCAUUUAAUUUAAUGUAGUUACUACUUGGUAGUUUAAAUUUCUAGGUAGAAUUAUGAUGAUGACAUUAUCUAUCUAUUAGUCUUGGACCAAAUUACGUGCCAGCAGUCGCGGUAAUACGUAGAAGACAAGUGUUAUUCAUCUUUAUUAGGUUUAAAGAGUACCAAGACGGUUAAUAAAGCCCAAAAUAAAUGAAUACGGGGGACACAUUAACUAGAGUUAUAUGAAAGGAAGCUCUAAGGUACUGUUGAGUGUAGAGAUGAAAUUUUAUGAUACCAGAUGAUUGGCACAGAUUUAUGCGAAGGCAUCUUCUUAUGUAAUAACUGACGUUGUAGGACGAAGGCUUAGAAAGUGAACAGGAUUAGGUACCCCAGUAACCUUGGCAGAAAAUGAUGAAUGUCAUAGGCUGAUUAAAAAUUGGAGGUGAGCUAGGAUAGGUUAUCCAAAGGCUGAUUAAAAUUGGAGCUAAGGAUAGGUUAUCCAAAGGCUAAUAACUUAAUUUUUAUUGGCUAUUGGCUCGAUCUGGUUAGAGGGCCCAGAUUCGAUUCUCGAAAUGGGGAUCAACAAUACGACAAUCAGUCUAUAAAUGAAAGUGUAAGCAUUCCACCUCAAGAGUAAUUUGGCAACAUUGGAACUGAAAUCAUUAGACCGUUUCUGAAACCAGUAGUGAAGUAUGUUGUUUAAUUAGAUGAUACACAAAAACCUUACCACAACUUGAAUAUAUAUAAAAUAUAUUUACAAGCGCUGCACGGCUGUCUACAGUUAAUGUCGUGAGACUAUGGUUAACUCCUUUAAAUUGACGAAAACCCUAAUUUUAUUUAUAAAUAUAAUUAACAUUGUUAUAUUUUAUGUUUUAAGAGGGAAUAUGACAAGUCAUCAUGGCCAAAUUAU